AAAUAAGAAGCAAUUCAUUGCAGCUAGUUUCGACCUAGAAGUUUGACAUUAUGUCCUUAUUUA
rnacentral:tRNA from 1 species